GACGAACGCUGGCGGCGUGCCUAAUACAUGCAAGUAGAACGCACAGUUUAUACCGUAGCUUGCUACACCAUAAACUGUGAGUUGCGAACGGGUGAGUAACGCGUAGGUAACCUGCCUGGUAGCGGGGGAUAACUAUUGGAAACGAUAGCUAAUACCGCAUGAUAUUGAUUAUUGCAUGAUAAUUGAUUGAAAGAUGCUAUUGCAUCACUACCAGAUGGACCUGCGUUGUAUUAGCUAGUAGGUGAGGUAACGGCUCACCUAGGCGACGAUACAUAGCCGACCUGAGAGGGUGAUCGGCCACACUGGGACUGAGACACGGCCCAGACUCCUACGGGAGGCAGCAGUAGGGAAUCUUCGGCAAUGGACGAAAGUCUGACCGAGCAACGCCGCGUGAGUGAAGAAGGUUUUCGGAUCGUAAAGCUCUGUUGUAAGAGAAGAACGGGUGUGAGAGUGGAAAGUUCACACUGUGACGGUAUCUUACCAGAAAGGGACGGCUAACUACGUG
rnacentral:rRNA from 1 species